rnacentral:rRNA from 1 species
GAUGAACGCUGGCGGCGUGCUUAACACAUGCAAGUCGAACGGAAAGGCCCAAGCUUGCUUGGGUACUCGAGUGGCGAACGGGUGAGUAACACGUGGGUGAUCUGCCCUGCACUUCGGGAUAAGCCUGGGAAACUGGGUCUAAUACCGGAUAGGACCACUUCGUAGUUGUUGUGGUGGAAAGGUUUUUCGGUGUGGGAUGAGCUCGCGGCCUAUCAGCUUGUUGGUGGGGUAAUGGCCUACCAAGGCGUCGACGGGUAGCCGGCCUGAGAGGGUGUACGGCCACAGUGGGACAGAGAUACGGCGCAGACUCCUACGGGAGGCAGCAGUGGGGAAUAUAGCACAAUGGGCGGAAGCCUGAUGCAGCGACGCGGCGUGGGGGAUGACGGCCUUCGGGUUGUAAACUCCUUUCGCCAAAGACGAAUUUAUGACGGUAUUUGGAGAAGAAGCACCGGCUAACUACGUG